rnacentral:rRNA from 1 species
UGGUCAGGUAGAGAAUACCAAGGCGCUUGAGAGAACUCGGGUGAAGGAACUAGGCAAAAUGGUGCCGUAACUUCGGGAGAAGGCACGCUGGUGUGUAGGUGAAGUCCCUGCGGAUGGAGCUGAGACCAGUCGAAGAUACCAGCUGGCUGCAACUGUUUAUUAAAAACACAGCACUGUGCAAACACGAAAGUGGACGUAUACGGUGUGACGCCUGCCCG